rnacentral:rRNA from 1 species
GCGCAAUGGGGGAAACCCUGACGCAGCGACGCCGCGUGCGGGAUGACGGUCUUCGGAUUGUAAACCGCUUUUCUCGGGGACGAUAAUCGACGGUACCCCGAGGAAGAAGCCCCGGCUAACUCCGUGCCAGCAGCCGCGGUAAGACGAGGGGGCAAGCGUUGUCCGGAAUUACUGGGCGUAAAGCGCUCGUAGGCGGUCGCGUACGGCGGUGGUGAAAUCUCCCGGCUCAACUGGGAGAGGCCCGCCGCAACGGCGUGACUCGAGGGUGGUAGAGGCAGAUGGAAUUCCUGGUGUAGCGGUGAAAUGCGUAGAGAUCAGGAGGAACACCCGUGGCGAAGGCGGUCUGCUGGGCCACACCUGACGCUGAGGAGCGAAAGCUAGGGGAGUGAACGGGAUUAGAUACCCCGGUAAUCCUAGCUGUAAACGAUGGAUACUAGGUGUCAGCGGUAUCGACCCCGCUGGUGCCGCAGCUAACGCGAUAAGUAUCCCGCCUGGGGAGUACGGCCGCAAGGUUG